UACGUAGGUGGCGAGCGUUGUCCGGAUUUACUGGGCGUAAAGAGCGCGCAGGCGGUCGUUCAAGUCGCGUGUGAAAGCCCCCGGCUCAACUGGGGAGGGUCACGCGAUACUGAUCGACUCGAAGGCAGGAGAGGGUAGUGGAAUUCCCGGUGUAGUGGUGAAAUGCGUAGAUAUCGGGAGGAACACCAGUGGCGAAGGCAGGUCUCUGGGCUGACACUGACGCUCAUGCACGAAAGCGUGGGGAGCAAACAGG
rnacentral:rRNA from 1 species